rnacentral:rRNA from 1 species
GAUGAACGCUGGCGGCGUGCCUAAUACAUGCAAGUCGAGCGAACAGACGAGGAGCUUGCUCCUCUGACGUUAGCGGCGGACGGGUGAGUAACACGUGGAUAACCUACCUAUAAGACUGGGAUAACUUCGGGAAACCGGAGCUAAUACCGGAUAAUAUAUUGAACCGCAUGGUUCAAUAGUGAAAGACGGUUUUGCUGUCACUUAUAGAUGGAUCCGCGUCGCAUUAGCUAGUUGGUAAGGUAACGGCUUACCAAGGCAACGAUGCGUAGCCGACCUGAGAGGGUGAUCGGCCACACUGGAACUGGGACACGGUCCAGACUCCUACGGGAGGCAGCAGUAGGGAAUCUUCCGCAAUGGGCGAAAGCCUGACGGAGCAACGCCGCGUGAGUGAUGAAGGUCUUCGGAUCGUAAAACUCUGUUAUUAGGGAAGAACAAAUGUGUAAGUAACUAUGCACGUCUUGACGGUACCUAAUCAGAAAGCCACGGCUAACUACGUG